CAAGUCGAACGCGAAAGUUCUCUUCGGAGGGCGAGUAGAGUGGCGCACGGGUUGAGUAACACGUAGGUAAUCUGCCUUUGGGUGGGGAAUAACAGCCGGAAACGGCUGCUAAUACCGCAUAAUGCAGCGGCAUCACGUGAUGACAGUUGUUAAAGCGGGGGAUCUCGCAAGAGACCUCGCGCCUGAAGAGGAGCCUGCGGCAGAUUAGCUAGUUGGUGAGGUAAAGGCUCACCAAGGCUUCGAUCUGUAGCCGGCCUGAGAGGGCGGUCGGCCACACUGACACUGACAUACGGGUCAGACUCCUACGGGAGGCAGCAGUCGGGAAUUUUGGGCAAUGGGCGAAAGCCUGACCCAGCAACGCCGCGUGAAGGAUGAAAUCCCUCGGGAUGUAAACUUCGCAAGAAUAGGAAGAAUAAGCCACCGUUAACACCGGUGGUGAUGACGGUACUAUUUGUAAGCUCCGGCUAACUCCGUGCCAGCAGCCGCGGUAAUACGGGGGGAGCAAGCGUUGUUCGGAUUUACUGGGCGUAAAGGGCGCGUAGGCGGCCACAACAAGUCACUUGUGAAAUCUCCGGGCUUAACCCGGUAGCGGCCAAGUGAUACUGUUGGGCUAGAGUGCGGAAGGGGCAACUGGAAUUCUCGGUGUAGCGGUGAAAUGCGUAGAUAUCGAGAGGAACACCUGCGGCGAAGGCGGGUUGCUGGGCCGACACUGACGCUGAGGCGCGAAAGCUAGGGGAGCGAACGGGAUUAGAUACCCCGGUAGUCCUAGCCUUAAACGAUGGAUGCUUGGUGUCUGGGGUGAUAAAGUCCCCGGGUGCCGUCGCUAACGCUUUUAGCAUCCCGCCUGGGGAGUACGGUCGCAAGACUGAAACUCAAAGGAAUUGACGGGGACCCGCACA
rnacentral:rRNA from 1 species